CACGUAGGGCGCAAGCGUUGUCCGGAAUUAUUGGGCGUAAAGAGCUCGUAGGCGGUCUGUUGCGUCCGCUGUGAAAACUCGGGGCUUAACCCCGAGCCUGCAGUGGAUACGGGCAGACUAGAGGUAGGUAGGGGAGAAUGGAAUUCCCGGUGUAGCGGUGAAAUGCGCAGAUAUCUGAAGGAACAUCAGUGGCGAAAGCGACUUCCUGGACCAAUACUGACGCUCAUGUGCGAAAGCGUGGGGAGCAAACAGG
rnacentral:rRNA from 1 species